UACGGAGGGUGCAAGCGUUAAUCGGAUUUAUUGGGCGUAAAGGGGGCGUAGGCGGGAAAGUAAGUCAGAUGUGAAAGACCAGGGCUCAACCCUGGAGUUGCAUUUGAAACUGCUUUUCUUGAGGGUAGGCGGAGUAAACGGAAUUCCACAAGUAGCGGUGAAAUGCGUAGAUAUGUGGAAGAACACCUGUGGCGAAAGCGGUUUUCUAGCUUAUACCUGACGCUGAGGCCCGAAAGCUAGGGGAGCAAACAGG
rnacentral:rRNA from 1 species